rnacentral:rRNA from 1 species
AACGAACGCUGGCGGCAGGCCUAACACAUGCAAGUCGAGCGAGGACUUCGGUCCUAGCGGCGGACGGGUGAGUAACGCGUGGGAACGUGCCCUUUGCUUCGGAAUAGCCCUGGGAAACUGGGAGUAAUACCGGAUGAGCCCUUUGGGGGAAAGAUUUAUCGGCGAAGGAUCGGCCCGCGUUGGAUUAGGUAGUUGGUGGGGUAAUGGCCUACCAAGCCGACGAUCCAUAGCUGGGUUGAGAGGAUGAUCAGCCACACUGGGACUGAGACACGGCCCAGACUCCUACGGGAGGCAGCAGUGGGGAAUCUUAGACAAUGGGGGAAACCCUGAUCUAGCCAUGCCGCGUGAGCGAUGAAGGCCGUAGGGUUGUAAAGCUCUUUCAGCUGGGAAGAUAAUGACGGUACCAGCAGAAGAAGCCCCGGCUAACUCCGUG